rnacentral:rRNA from 1 species
UACGGGGGGGGCAAGCGUUGUUCGGAAUUACUGGGCGGAAAGGGCGCGUAGGCGGCAAUUCAAGUCAUCUGUGAAAUCUCCGGGCUUAACUCGGAACGGUCAGAUGAUACUGCUUUGCUCGAGUGCGGAAGGGGCAAUCGGAAUUCUUGGUGUAGCGGUGAAAUGCGUAGAUAUCAAGAGGAACCCCUGAGGUGAAGACGGGUUGCUGGGCCGACACUGACGCUGACAGCGCGAAAGCCAGGGGAGCAAACGGG